rnacentral:rRNA from 1 species
CUAAGAAUAUUCCGCAAUGGACGGAAGUCUGGCGGAGCGACGCCGCGUGGAUGACGAAGGCCGAAAGGUUGUAAAGUUCUUUUGCUGGGGAAGAAUAACCGCAGGAGGGAAUGCCUGUGGGAUGACAAGAACCGGCGAAUAAGCCCCGGCCAACUACGUGCCAGCAGCCGCGGUAACACGUAGGGGGCGAGCGUUGUUCGGAAUUACUGGGCGUAAAGGGCAUGUAGGCGGCUUGGAAAGCCUGGCGUGAAAGUCUGCAGCUUAACUGCAGGGGUGCGCUGGGAACUGCUGAGCUUGAGUGACGGAGAGGGAGCUGGAAUUCCUGGUGUAGGGGUGAAAUCUGUAGAUAUCAGGAAGAACACCGAUGGCGAAGGCAAGCUCCUGGCCGAUGACUGACGCUGAGGUGCGAAAGUGUGGGGAUCAAACAGGAUUAGAUACCCUGGUAGUCCACACAGUCAACGAUGUGCACUAGGUGCUGGGGCGGUAGCUUCGGUGCCGGAGCGAACGUGGUGAAGUGCACCGCCUGAGGA